rnacentral:lncRNA from 1 species
AUAUUCAACAGCAUAGUGAAUUGCUCUAAGAGAAAAAAAAUUUUAAGUUCAUUAGAACACAUUCAUUCUGUGUCAGAAACCUAUGCUGUGUCAACUAUUUAAUCACAAUCCAAAUUUAGAGCUGAAUCCAGCUUGAAUGUUGUGUCCAUACUUGCCCCAACCGUUCAGGGUUCAACCUCUGCGGUCGUAUAAAGCUACGCCCUGCGGAGCAUCUGGUUGUCUUUGGGUUGAUUUCUUUUUUAAAGAUAUCACAUAUCUCGUUUUGUUCAGAUCGACUUAUAUUUUCUUUAUUUAUAAAAAGAAGGAUCUGCAAUGAGAUGAAACUUUGGAGCUUGGAGACAAGGGGAUGAAAAGAAAGAAAUGGAUAGAAACAAGUGAAAUUUUCAGAGGAAAGGAUGAUGAAAGAAAGAAGAAAAGGGACUGGGUAUGCGAGAGACAGAAAUAUAUAUCGUAAACGGGAAGAACGAGAAAAUUGAAAGAAAAAAGAUAAAUCUAUCUCGGUUCAUUAUAAAUACCACAUGUUUGUGUUUUCUUGUAUUUAGAUUUAACAAACAUUUUUGUACAUAUUUUGCUCAGAUAUAUAAUGUUUAUUAUUUUAUUUCUUGUGCUUCACAAAUUUUUAACUCAUUGAAUAU